AAGUGAAAUGAAGGGACAGAGAAACGAACACGAAGCUUGCACUCGCGGUCACAGCCAGCGCUUCCAAGCUAAAAAACUCGGUCUUGAGGCUCUCUCUCAACUCAAGCUUCAAUUUUUUUUCUUCGGUUUCUUCUGCUGCGUUGAUUCGAUUGGUUGGGCUCUCUCAAUGGAGGCAAAGCCUUCGUCCUCGGGGUUCGACACAGACGUGCCUGGUGACGUGGACGACUACAUUUCGCAAUCCUCUUCAGAAUUUAGAGAGAAUACAAGCUAAUUUCACAGGAAGGAGAAGCCAUAGAAAAUCAGAACGCAGUGAUGACUUUGAUUGCACACUAUGCUUGAAAUUACCAUAUGAACCUGUCACAACUCCUUGUGGGCAUUUCAUGCUUAUUUCAGUCAAUGGAUCGAGUGUGACACUUAACGGCAUUAUACAGAAGAAUUUCCAAGAGGAAUUUGCCGAAAUGAAGUUGGAGAAUGAUGCAAUGACAAACUUUGGUGUUGAUUUGAUGCCACUCUUUGUAACGGAUGGUGUCUUCCUGUUUCAGAAGUUUUCGCUACAUGUUUUUUAACCUCGGUAUAGACUUAUGAUUUUUGCUUGUACCUUGUCACUUAAACAACGGGUAAGGACGAUAAUGGAAGGCAACUGUCGGAUGGGAAUUGUAGAUUACAGUCACUGGUCCCUUUCUAUCCCUUUUAACUUUCUUAAGGCAUAUAAAGUUUGACCCAGAGUAUAAGUUUCACUGAUUGUUGCUUGUUUUUUUAAUUUUGUAAGUUAUCAUUGAUUCUUCGACAGGUUCAAUAGCUGAUUUUUCUUGUGAAGUGGGAAUUACCAAGUGUGAACCACUCCCAGAUGGACGUUUCUAUUUAGAGUUAUAAUAAUACUAUUUCAUCAUAUUGAAAGUCGCCAACGGUUUCAUAUAAUUCGAUCUUGGGACCAAGAUGGGUACCAUAUGGGGUACAUGACAUAUAUCCACCAGAAGGGUCUAGAGAGAGAGCAGACGAAGAUGCAGGACAGAGUUCUUCCAUGUUUUUCCCCCUUAUAGUGGUUGCGCCUAUAUGGUUUAACUUCUAUUUCUGUCCAGUUGCGAGAAUUGACACAUAAUGCAGCAGAGUACGCUCGGUUGUGGAUAGGGCGGGGUAAAAGAGCAGCACGUCAAUGUAAACUGCUCAGGAAUGACAUCAAUUGAAUGAACUCGGAAUUUACCUUCUUUGUUGUUUUUUUUAAUGGGUUAUCUCCAUAAGUUAAAUUUCUCAAUCCUCUAUAAUAGGUAUUUGGAUGACCAUUCAGAGUAUCCUGAAUAAGAUUUUCCAUUAUUUUGGGUGAAUAUUACUGCCAGACUGAGAUUGCAUGUUUCAUUUUGGUGGUCAGUUGUAAUCGUUGGAAAUGAAAGAUUAAUUUUAUUAGGUUAAACCCUUUGUUCCACUGAAAUGUCUGUCAUAUUCAGAUUUCAUCUUUAGGAAGCUUCUGCUUGGAACAUUUGGGGAGGAUAUUUAUCUCUAGAUCAACAUAUCUUAUUUACUUGUGACAAUUUGUCUUUAUUCAAGCCAUUCAAAUUCAGUCUAUAUGUAAUGUCAGUGUACAUAAGAAUGGUUUCUUCCCUAUUCUUGUGUUCAGUAUACCUAUGUGCCCUUUUGAUGUAUGAUAAUGUUUCUUUACAAAUCGAAGACGACUUCAGAGACUUCUCGGCGUGGAAGCGAUGAUGCCUUUACGAGCGUUUCUGCUUCUAGCUUGCUUCUUUAUCAAACCUGCGUCCUCAUGAAAGGUUGGAUCUCCUAUGCUUGCAAGAUACAAGAGAGGUAUUGCACUUUUCUCCCCUUUUAACUUUGGGAAUUUCAGAUGCACGUUAGUAUGGUAUAUAUAAGAAUGAGAUGCUACUUCUAUC